rnacentral:lncRNA from 1 species
GGGGCGAUACCCGCACCCCCGGAGCGGGCAGAGGCUCUGCGGAAGGAGGAUGCGGAGGAUGCCGCUCCGCGCACCGAGGGAGCCGCAGCCCCGGGAGGCUUCGGGCGCUGCCGGCGGAGGUGGAGGGUCCCUGCUGGAGGCUCGGGGUGAGGGACACAGGGACAGCCAGGAACAGCUCCCGAGGACAGGACAGACUGCAGCUGGGACAGAGGGACAGAAGGACAGCCAGGAACAUCUCCUGAGGACAGGAUGGACACUGCAGCUGGAGCAGAGGGACAGAAGGACAGCCAGGAACAGCUCCUGAGGACAGGAUGGACACUGCAGCUGGAGCAGAGGGACAGAAGGACAGCCAGGAACAGCUCCUGAGGACAGGAUGGACACUGCAGCUGGAGCAGAGGGACAGAAGGACAGCCAGGAACAGCUCCUGAGGACAGGAUGGACACUGCAGCUGGAGCAGAGGGACAGAAGGACAGCCUGAGGCCAGGACAGACUGCAGCUGGAGCUGAGGAG